rnacentral:rRNA from 1 species
CGCGGCCUAUCAGCUUGUUGGUGAGGUAAUGGCUCACCAAGGCGACGACGGGUAGCCGGCCUGAGAGGGUGACCGGCCACACUGGGACUGAGACACGGCCCAGACUCCUACGGGAGGCAGCAGUGGGGAAUAUUGCACAAUGGGCGAAAGCCUGAUGCAGCGACGCCGCGUGAGGGAUGACGGCCUUCGGGUUGUAAACCUCUUUCAGUAGGGAAGAAGCGAAAGUGACGGUACCUGCAGAAGAAGCGCCGGCUAACUACGUGCCAGCAGCCGCGGUAAUACGUAGGGCGCAAGCGUUAUCCGGAAUUAUUGGGCGUAAAGAGCUCGUAGGCGGUUUGUCGCGUCUGCCGUGAAAGUCCGGGGCUCAACUCCGGAUCUGCGGUGGGUACGGGCAGACUAGAGUGCGGUAGAGGAGAUGGGAAUUCCUGGUGUAGCGGUGGAAUGCGCAGAUAUCAGGAGGAACACCGGUGGCGAAGGCGCAUCUCUGGGCCGUAACUGACGCUGAGGAGCGAAAGCAUGGGGAGCGAACAGGCUUAGAUACCCUGGUAGUCCAUGCCGUAAACGUUGGGCGCUAGGUGUGGGGUCCUAUCCACGGAUUCCGUGCCGCAGCUAACGCAUUAAGCGCCCCGCCUGGGGAGUACGG